GGCGCUCAGCUGGAACGUAAACCCCUGUGUCUUAAAGGGUCCCUCUCUGUGCGCGCGGUUCCGGGAAGUGCCGCUCCACCCUGCGGUUAUAUGGUCUCUGGCUGGAGGGCGCAGGCAGCCUUUGCCCUUUGAACGGAUAUACACCUUCAUCCCCCAGAACUCCAGGGAGAGGAUUACUUUCUCCCACUGCAAACUGUGCCUCUGAACUAGUUACUGAGCCUGGGACUGGCUCCCCUCCUCCCCAGAAGGGGAUCCCGCCUCUCCAUUCCUCCACUGCCGGUUUUCUCUCUCCCAGUUCUCAGUCAUGAACCUAUGGCCCACCAGUUUGUCCCAGUGGGUCCCUGGAGGCGUCUCUGUCACUUUGCUGCCUGGACUCUUGGAGUUCAAAGUUCCUUUGGCCUCAACGCUGCUGUGUUUGCAAGAGGAGGGACCUUCAUAUCCCCCUACUUCUCCGCCAUGUUGGAUCCCUCUGGCACGCAAGCUCUUAUUCCAAGUAUUUGAGUUCUAACCCCAGAUGGCUGAAUCAUCAAGUGCAUUGGUUGGUGCCUUGCAAAUUAGACUGACAGAAGACAGAUUAACAGGGCACUCCAUUUUCAGAAGAGGAAUAUUCAAGGGUCAUGCUGGAGUUAAGAAAUUCAGUGUCCAGAUGUUUCAGAAUCCAGAUGGCCUAUGAAUCCUCUAUCACCCAGAAAGGAGGAAAAUAUGCAUGAAAGUGGAACACUGAAAAGAAAAAAAAUAAUUUAGUGUUGGCAAUGUAAUGGCGACAUACAGGGCUCAAGGAAAAGCUUCCUUUCCUAAAGCAGCAACUUAAUAAAGUGCAUGUUGUAGGCUCUAUCAGCAAGCCAAAUUUUCAUCCCUGCCUCUUCUUUCCAUCACCAUUAAGAGGCUUGCAGAGAUCCACACUGUUUAAAGGGCAGACAGCAUGGAAGAACUAUCAUGUACAAUUUAAAGUAGCAGCUAAAAUUGGAAUGGUCACAAGAAAGCCUGUUUCUUUGCAAUUAAAUUGACAAGCUGUCUAUGAUUACCCUAGGGAACUUGGCAGCUGAGUGAUAAAAAGACUGCAGAGUGUUGAAAGGUCUAACACAACAUACUAGGUGGACAAAGACCACAUCUGCUUAAUAUACUGAUUGGGAGAGUUCUGGAAUGUACUUGGCUAAAUUAGCCGAGGAGGGAUACUAAUGAUACUUUUUCCUCUCUAAGAUCCUCUGCUCAGAACCCAUUUCAGAAAUUACCCACAAAUAUUUGGAAGCAUGCCUUAUAAAUAGUAUAGUGCAAUACCUGAUGUUAUUUUGCAUGAACCUAUCAUUACAAAUCACCAGAAGAAAUGAGCAGAAGUUUAGAAAGAAAUAAUAAUAAAAAAACUCUUCCAUCAAAUGUUUUUGAAAUAUGUGUACACACACACACACACACACACACACACACAUGUUUUCCUAUACAAAUUAGUCUCCCAAAAAAAGAUUUAUAAUGAUAUCAAGGACUAAAGAGUUGAACAACCAUAGGUAAUUUAAUGCAGAAUAUUAAGUGAGAAUUACAUGGUAUUUUCAUUGUUGAGUGUCCUUUGUGUUGGGCAAAGCUGGAACUUAGGUUACAAAGGAGAAAACAAUAACCAGAUUUUUGAUGGUAGCAAUUUGUGAGGACUAACACACCCAUUUCAGCAAUGUCUUCUUAAUUUUAGUUAGUGCAUUCCUUAAAGGAGAAAAUGCACAUACAAAUGUGAAGGUUUCUUUGGAUACAUUUCAUAGGUAUUAAUAGUACUCGACACUAAAUAAAUAAGUGAUGGCCAUAUCUACUUGCCCACCUGUCCUUUCUGAAGGCUAAGGACCAUUUAUCUCAGCAAACUUGGAAAGUAGUUUCCAUUUCCACAGUAGGAUUACCCUAAACAAAAUUUCUGAAGCAGAAGUCCAUUGUAUACUACCUUGGCACUCACUUAAAAAACCAGAGAAUCCCCAAUUAGCUUGUUAAUGCUGUCUGGUCUUUGAGACCAUGUGAUACUUCAGCAAAAUUAUUCAAAGCUCAAAGUCACUCAAAUGCUCAAUGACUCCAACAUUAGAUAAAGAUUCUUAACAUCACUAAUUAUUAGGAAAAUGCAGAUCGAAACCACAAUAAGAUAUUGUUCACAUCUGCCAGAAUGACUAUUAUCAAAAAGGUAGGAAAUAACAAGUGUUGGAGAAGAUGUGGAAGCAAAGGGAACCUGUGAACACUGUGGGUGGGAUUGUGAUUGAUGUAGCUACUAUGGAAAACAGUAUGGAGAUUCCUCAAAAAAAAAAAAAAAAUUAAGAGUAGAAACACCAUAUGGUCCAGCUGUUUGACUUCUGGGUAUUUAUCUGAAGAAUAUGAAAACAC